GAGAGAAACAGGUUAUCAAGAGAAGGAUAUUGCAUGUUUUAAUUGCAAUAAGAAGGGUCAUUAUGCUAACCAAUGCAAAGAACCGGCAAAGAGGUGUAACCAAUGUAAGCGAUGGGGACAUCAGACCCAUGAAUGUUCAAAAGUAGCAGAUGCAUCACGAGGACGUGUGCAGAGGAGCGUGGCCGAGUUAAAGGCACUUACAUAAAUUCAUUUUCAUUUCAUUAUUUUGGGAAAAGCAUUCCAUGAAAUAUAAUUUAUGAAUACCGAAAAAUAUGAAAAAUAAUAAAAUUAUUGUCUUAUCAAUUUUCAAAUAUA